rfam:Tribolium castaneum strain Georgia GA2 linkage group LG3, whole genome shotgun sequence.
UGCAGGGUGAACAGACUGAUCUUGUUUCUGCGGAAAUGUUAGUUACAGUCAUUUCGGCGAUGAGAUCAGCCUGUCGAACCCAGC